rnacentral:rRNA from 1 species
CGCGUAGGUGACAUACCUUUUAGUGGGGGACAACAUCGUGAAAACGGUGCUAAUACCGCAUAUUUUGGAUGAAAUUGGAAAAAUUCAACAAAGGUGGCUUCGGCUAUCGCUAGAAGAAUGGCCUGCGUAGCAUUAGCUUGAUGGUGGGGUAAUGGCCUACCAUGGCUACGAUGUUUAACUGGUCUGAGAGGAUGAUCAGUCACACUGGAACUGAGACACGGUCCAG